rnacentral:rRNA from 1 species
AUGAAUGGGUCCCCUUGGAUGGUUGGGAAACAUGCUGUUUUGGUGAAGUUUUUUGCGAUGAUUCAGCCGCUUCAGGUCACUUUUGAUCGUCUAGCCGUAUGGGCUAGGAUAUUGGCACUUCCUACAAGUCUGAUGAAAGCGAAAUUUGGGAUGGAAUUUGCUAAGCCAGUUGGUAGGAUAAUUCAUGUUGAAUCAGAUGCUAAUGGUCGUUGUUGGGGUGCCUACAUGCGGGUCCGAGUUGAGAUUGCAGUGAAGGAGCCAGUGACUCGUUUUGUGACAAUAACAUCAGCGGAAUUGAAGACUACUGAGUCCUAUUCGGUAAUGUAUGAGCGGUUGCCUUUUUACUAUUUCUCUUGUGGUCUACUUGGUCAUUCCUCUAUGUUGUGUCCUAAUCCGAGUAUUCGUGAUGAGUUGGGAGAGCUGCCCUAUGCUUCAAGGAAGUUAUGUGUUGAUGAUCUCGGGAGGAAAGGCAACAGUAAAAAUCACAACUCUAGUAACGCUUCGUCUUCCUUGGAAUGCAUGGGACAUGAAAGACCUCGAUAUUUGCCUGGUGGUUCUCGUACCUCAUCUGGGAGUGGCCAUGGAUGUACUAGACAUGGUCGCGAAAGAGGCCGGUCUACUAUGGCCAGAACUGAUUUGGUUACUAUCAAAAAUACUAGGCACAACUUAUCUGGGCAAAAGAGGUAA